AAAAAAAAGAAAAGAAAUAAGAGAAAAGAAGCCAUUCUCUCUCUCUCUGGCGACUGUGGCAAAAUAAGUAGCACACGGAUUUUUAGCAUGUUUUUCUAAAACGGUACUAUUCAGUAUUCAGCCAAUUUUGCCGGGGUACACUAACACUGGUAUUGCCCUCUCUCUCUCUCUCUCUCAAUUUUCAAACUCAUCGCUACCAUCUCUGACUGCACCAAAAUCCGACCCGAAUUGUUAGCUGGAACCCGAAUAAUCUUCAGGGAAGAGAAAUGGGUACGCUUCGUGCUUCCAAUCCUUUCAUUAUUGUUCCAUUUCCAUUUCAUGCUUUUUCUUCUUCUUCUUCUUCUUCUUCUUCUUAUUAUUAUUAUUCUACUCUUACUACUAGUAGAGAAAACCCAAAUCAGAAUCAGAAUCAGAAUCAGUUGUUGAAAUCAAUGAGAGAUCAGUGUAAAUGUGGAAGCUUUAGGAAUGUCGAUGAUGCCUUAGACAUGUUUGAUAAAAUGCUUCACAUGCGCCCUUUGCCUUACAUUGUUGACUUUAAUCGCAUUUUGGGUGCCAUUACAAGAAUGAAGCAUUACCCAUUAGUCAUUACUCUAUUUAAACAAAUGGGCUCAUCAGGAAUUGCUCCCAGUCUUCCUACUCUCAAUACUUUGAUUAAUUGCUUCGGCCAUUUGAACCGAGUAGAUUUUGGGUUCUCUGUGUUAGCAACAAUUUUGAAACUUGGUUAUCACCCAGACUCUAUUACUCUAACCACCCUUGUCAAGGGUCUCUGUCUUCAAGGUAACAUUGUUGGAGCUGUGAAGUUGGUAGAAGAUAUGGAGAAGAAAGGGUAUCAACCUGAUGCAUUUACUUGUGGAACGAUACUAAAUGCUCUGUGUAAGAUUGGUAAGACUGAUAUGGCUAUUAGAUUGCUUAGGAAGAUGGAAGAGGGGAAGUUUAAAGCUAAUGUGGUGCUCUAUAGCACAAUCAUUGACAGCUUAUGUAAGGAUAGGUCAGUAACUGAGGCCUUGAACCUUUUGACUGAAAUGAUGAGUAAAGGCAUUCAGCCGGACCUUAUCACUUACAAUUCCUUAGUUCAAGGCCUAUGCAAUUUUGGCAGGUGGAGAGAGGCUACUACUUUGUUGAACGAGAUGGCACAGAGGAAGAUCAUGCCAAGUGUGAGGACCUUUAACAUAUUGGUGGACACAUUUUGCAAAGAGGGGAUGUUGAAAGAGGCGAAAAUUAUUUUUGAUAAGAUGAUUCAAAGAGGUAUUGAGCCUGACGUAGUCUCUUAUAAUUCUUUAAUUGAUGGAUACUGUUUGCAAAAUAAAUUGAAGGAUGCCAUCGAAGCAUUGAACAUGAUGGUUGAAAGGGGUUAUUCACCUAAUGUUGUUAGCUAUAACACAUUGAUUAAUGGAUUUUGUAAAAAUAAAAAAAUUGAUGAGGCAAUGAAUCUCUUUAAUGAAAUGUCCAACAAGGGAGUAACUCCUGAUAUUGCGACUUACAACACUCUUAUAGGUGGGUUUUGUCGGGUGAAGAGACACAAGGCUGCUCUAGAGCUAUUUCAUAAUAUGCAGGCUUGUGGCCAACCUCUAGAUCCCCAAACCUAUGCUGUCUUGUUGGACGGCCUAUGUAAGAAUGGACAAGUUGUUGAGGCAAUAAAAGUGUUUCAUGAGAUGGAAAACAAAACAUUGGGCAACGAUAUUGUGAUUUACAGCAUUUUAAUUGAUGGUUUGUGUAAUGUUGGGAAUCUUACAGUUGCAAGAGAACUCUUUUAUAGUCUACCUGCGAAAGGAUUGCAACCCAAUGUUCAAACUUUCACCAUAAUGCUCAAAGGGCUUUGCAAAGAGGGACUGAUAGAAGAAGCAAGUGAGAUAUUUGAGAAAAUGGAUGGGAGCGGUUGUUCACCUGACGAUCGCACAUAUAACACAAUAAUCCAUGGAUUACUGCAACACAAUGAGACAUCAAAGGCAAUGAAAUAUCUUGAAAUAAUGGUUGAAAAGGGUUUUUCAGCAAAUGCGACAGUUGCAAGCAUGUUGGUUAACUUGCUGUCAUCUAAUCAAGUAGAUAAGAACAUUCAAGGAUUGCUCCAGAAGCUUGAGUGAAGGUUUUUUAGUUUCUCAACAUCAAGGACAAGUUUCAUAUUCACAUGUCAAUCUUUAAGCGAUGUGUAUUCAUUUCAGUGGGCAAGACUAUCAUUUUUUGCAAGCUGAAAUUGGGAGAGAUUGUGACCACCCUUCCUACCGUUGGAAAUUUGGUAUCCACUGAUUGGGGCCAUUACUUUGGGUUCUAUUUCAAGUAUAUCCAGAGCACAUGUGCCACUUCAGGGGAAGGGCUGUAUGAGGGACUAGAUUGGCUUUCCAACAAUAUGGCUAACAAGAAGAAGUUCAGACUUUAGAGAAGCAAAAUGAGUAGAGGUGGAGAGAAAGGUUUCACAACCACAAAAAUCUAGAAGGAUAUUUCAAUGGAUAGCUGAAAAGUAAGUUUGAUGAUGCUUUCAUUUGUGGAAACAAUUAUACUUUCUACAUUUAAGCCUUGCUGCCUAGCUUUCUUUUAGGAAUCCUUUGUUUUUACUUUUUGGUUUUCAUCUAGCAAAGUGAAUUUGUACUUAUAGAUUCACUCAAAUUUGACUUGGAGCCCAUGUAAAGUUAUGUACUAAUUUUAUAUGCUUAGUUUCUUGUUCUCAAGGAUUACUUAAUUUAUACAUUUUAUUUAUGUAUUUUUCUUUAAAUUAGAUUGUCAACCACGUAAAAAAGUUACAAAAGUAAGACAUGGGCAAUGGCCACUAUGAACUAAGUAAGGGAGUUCAUAAGGUAUUUUUUGUUAUAGUUGAAGACAAGCAAAACUUAUUAUUACAGUUGUUCUCUACUUUGAAACCGGAAUUGCAAUGGUGCCCAUAAAAAAAUUGUCACAAGAACACUUAUUCUUGUAAUGUAUAUGAUUUUUGAGCUAAAAGAAUGUCUCGUCUUAUUUUAGUUUCUUGUAACUUUUGGAAGCAUUUGGAGGAAGUGCAUAUUAUGGUAACACUUUUUUGAUGUGGACAGUAUUAUGGUAACACUUUUUUGAUGUGGACAGUGGAAUUGUCCAAUUCUAAUGUAAUAACCUUCAAAUUCAUUUAGAAUAUUUGUUGAAUUCCAUGAUUUUUUUUCUCCAAUAUGGUAUAGAAAGUAAAUGUGGGAAUUGUGUUAUUAUGGUUAAUGGUCUUGCUUCAUAGUUAUGACCAAGGGAAUUACCCUGUAAUUAACCUGAUAACCAAAUCCAAGAAUUCUUAAAAAUAAAGUCAAUAGUAGUCAGCAAUGAAGAUACAAACUCAUAUUACAUUAAGUAUUUUGAAAUUACAAGAAUUUACAAAUUCACAUUGCAUAUGUAUUUUGAAGUCACAAGAAUUUGUACUAGACAUGGAGGGGAGAAUUUUGGAAAUAAUCUAAAUGCUUUAUUAUUCAAUCUCAUCCGUAAAAGCAAUGUUUGUUACAAGCUAAUUAUCAUCUGCAUCACAAUGACAUCAAGGAACCACUCCAACUAGGUUAUCCAGGUUUUGCUAUUCAUCUGCAUCUUCUGCUACAAAAUAUUCAUGCUGCAACGUCUGCUGCAAAAUAUUCAUGCCACAAAGAUAAGCAGCACUUCACAACAUUAUAUAACAAAGGAGGCAUAAAACUCAAUCCAAAUAGGAAUGACAAAAAUAAAAUUGAAAUAAUGUAAUUUUAAUUGACAUAAGGACAAUAAAUAGUCUCAUUAUAAUGAUGGUGGCCGGUGAACAUGUGUUGGCCGAUGACUUGCUAUCUGCAAAUCCAGCAGAUAAAGCACUUCAAGAAUUACUUAUUAAGACUUUGCUAGUCAAUCUAUAAGGUGUAUGUAUAUUUGUUGGAAGUGGUUAUUUACUUUUUAUGAAAUGAUGUUUCUUUUCAUAUCAUUGAUGCUUUUGCCCUUUCAAAUUUUUGUCUUUUUUUAUUUAUUUUUUAUUUUAAAAUUUGUAAUUAAAUAGGUUUUAUUUGAAGUGAAGAUUUGGUUGACCCUCACAAGGAGUUAUUGGAUGGGAGGAGAACUUUACUCUCUAUGGAGUUGUGAUAGAUAUAGAAUAGGUCUUGGGAACCAUAUCACACAUGAACAAUACGACCUUUUCUCCUAAAAUUAGAAGUGCUAUGUUAACAACAUUUUCACAACAAAUCAUAAGUGAUAACUUAUUAUUGGGUUUUAAUUUGAAUUUACCACUUAAAUUACUUAUUUGCUCACUAGUAACAACCAAUAACAACUUGCCACUCAAGAUUUGUUGUGAAAGUAUUGUGGACAUAGCUUUUCUCCUCCUAAAAUAGCCAUAAAAGUUGUAGCAUGAAAGGAGUAAACUUCAAUUUGAUUCUAUUCCAAUCAUUUAUAUAUUCUAUUGUUUUAUAAACUUCAAUUUGAAUUGUCCAACAUGGGAGUGGCUCCCAUUUUUGUCACUUACUGCAAUCUUAUAGGUGGGUUUUGUCGAGUGAAGAGGCCCUUGGCUGCACUAGAGCUAUUCCAUAAAAUGCAGGCUUGUGGCCAUGUUGGUUGACUUGCUGUCAUCUAAUUAAGUAGAUAAGAACAUUUAAGAAUUGCUUCAUAAGUUUGUGUGAAGGUUUUUUAACUUCUCCAGGUCAAGGACAAGCUUCAUAUUUGUACCCAUUGCUUGUCAAUCUGUAAGCAACAUGUAUUUUUUAUUUUAAUUUUUUGGAGUAAAUUUUAUAUUUUUUACAAGAUGAACUUUCUCUUCAUUUAUAAUUGGAAGAUUGAUCGUUCUUUUAAUUGUUCUAUCUUUUGAUGAUAUUUCAUUGUGCACUCAUGUUGUUGCUUUCGACCUAUUUUCAUGGAUAGUUAUUUCAAAUUUUGUCUAAUGUAAGUUAAUGCGAAAUAUAUUAGUUCUAAAGUUUGACCUUCUCUGUGGUCAUACAUCCAUAUUAGGUAGUGAAAUAAAUGUUAAUACAUGUAUAUUAUGCUUAAAUUAAGUGUUGGAGUUGCGUGUUGAAUGUUACAAUAAAAAUAUAUAUUACGCUUAAAUGUCAUGUGUAGUGAAUACCUUACUUCUAUUUCUAUGCUGAAUUUGUCUUAGUUUCACAUGCUUUCCUGAACUGUAUUGACACUAGACUUGGGAAUUGGAACCAAUUUAGAUUAGUGUAGUUUGAAACACUUUUGAACUUAAUGAAGUAGCUUUUUUGUCCGCUGACUUGAAGAUUUGCAACUUAAUGUGGAGACUGUGGGAUACAAGAACAUCAGCUUCACUGUCUGGGAUGUCGGGGGCCAGGACAAGUCUUAUAUUGUGCAUGUACAAAUUCGACCUUUGUGGAGACAUUACUUCCAAAACACUCAAGGGCUUAUCUUCGUGGUUGAUAGCAAUGACUGUGACCAUGUGGUUGAGGCUAGGGAUGAGCUGCAUCGGAUGUUGAAUGAGGAUGAAUUGAGGGAGGCUAUGCUGCUUGUAUUUGCAAACAAGCAGGAUCUUCCAAAUGCCAUGAAUGCUGCUGAAAUAACUGAUAAGCUUGGUCUUCAUUCCCUCCGUCAAUGCCACUAGUAUAUUAACACUCUCUCUCUCUCUCUCAUGUUUUACUCUAUGCAUAGGAAAUUUGGUAUCCACUGAUUGGGGCCAUUGCUUUGGGUUCUAUUUCAAGUAUAUCCAGAGCACAUGUGCCACUUCAGGGGAAGGGCUAUACGAGGGACUAGACUGGCUUUCCAACAAUAUUGCUAACAAGGCUUAGGAGAUCCGUAAAUCUUCAUUUACUUUUUUGGGCUGUAAUCUCUGUCAAACGGGAUUUUGUCGUUAUGUGGUGUUUAUGCAUUUUACAUUUGAUAUUGUCUUGAGAAUGUAUCUGUUUGUUUAGAUCAUUGUUACAAUAUGAUGGAAAUUGACAUUUGCCUUGUAGAUUCUAAAUAAUUCAUGAUUCACAGUUCAUAAAUAUGAUUAAACCUUGCUAAUUUUGAGAU